UACGGGGGGGGUAAGCGUUGUUCGGAAUUACUGGGCGUAAAGGGCUCGUAGGCGGCCAACUAAGUCAGACGUGAAAUCCCUCAGCUUAACUGGGGAACUGCGUCUGAUACUGGAUGGCUUGGAUUCGGGAGAGGAAUGUGGAAUUCCAGGUGUAGCGGUGAAAUGCGUAGAUAUCUGGAGGAACACCGGUGGCGAAGGCGGUUCUCUGGGCCUUACCUGACGCUGAGGAGCGAAAGCGUGGGGAGCGAACAGG
rnacentral:rRNA from 1 species